UUGGCUUGCAUACAAGUGCAUCUGCCAGCACAUUUCUUUCGUGUUGCAGUUGUCUUGCUCUUAGCAAUACUGCAGCACUCUAAAGACAAACAAGAAGAUUCUACGCUUUUUUUUGACAAUUACUUAAUAUGAUAGGUUAUGUUUCGGCUAACGGAUUUUAGUAUUUUAUUUCCUGUUUCUUUAUUCUUAAAUAUUAAAAUCAUUUCUUUAGACGUUCAUAAUAUCUAACAAAUUUAUACGUAUAGAAAUAUACCCUGUGAUGAGAGAUGUUAGUUUAGACAAAUAGAACAACAUAGGGAUAAAACUCUUCUCGCUCCGGGGUAACGGCAGAGCUUUCACAACCCGAAAUGUUACCUCGGUUAGACUAGAACCCAGGAAAGGAUAGGAUAAAGAAAUAUGGGACAAUUGAGUUUGUAUUUCACAAAUUGACCUUGUUAAUAUUUAAAUGAGUAACAAUUAAUUUUAGUUGAUCAAAAGUUAGAUUGCAAAGAAUAUCUUGUAAUAGGAGCUUUCGUAACGUUCGGUUGUGUGACAGUUCAGUGUGGAAGUGAUAAUUCAAAAAAAAACGCAGGCGACAAAAACAAAAUAGGAACUACAUAAUAGAGCUACAGAAAAACAAGAAGAAGGACAAGGACCACAUAGGACCAAAAAAAAAAAAAUAGAUCUGAAGUUGACAGGACACCUGGUUGUGCAUUGCCUUGAGCAAGACGCGCAUAACCAAUAA